UACGGAGGGUGCAAGCGUUAUCCGGAUUCACUGGGUUUAAAGGGUGCGUAGGUUGGUUGGUAAGUCAGUGGUGAAAUCUCCAGGCUUAACUUGGAAACUGCCAUUGAUACUAUCAAUCUUGAAUACCGUGGAGGUCAGCGGAAUAUGUCAUGUAGCGGUGAAAUGCUUAGAUAUGACAUAGAACACCAAUUGCGAAGGCAGCUGGCUACACGAAUAUUGACACUGAUGCACGAAAGCGUGGGGAUCAAACAGG
rnacentral:rRNA from 1 species